CGCGCUUCGCGUGUAGAAGCGUCCGGGUGGCGGAGGCCGCAGGCCGCAGGAGUGCUGGUGGAGGGGCUUCCAGAAAGACCCUGCGGCAGCGCCCCCCCUCGGCUCUCCCCGCAGGAGAGCGGGCACCUGCGCGGCGCCGGGUGAAGGCGAGAGCCUCGGCGAGCCCUCUGCAGCGGAGCCCCCUGCCCAUUUGGUUUUGGCCAGUCAGCCUGGAAAUCUGCCUGUAGUCAGCUGAUGCAGAGUCACCCUGCAGUUCCUACUUUGAGGGGUUGCAGAAGCACAUAUUUCACUAUGGAGGGCCGCCUGCAGGCCUCGCGCUGACAGGAUCUUUUGUGACGCUGCAAAUGUCCUGAACCACCGGGAGGAACUGGGCCAUUCUAACACCCGUUGCUACCAUGCUGGCCACCCGCCUCUCCAGACCCCUGUCACGGCUCCCAGGAAAAACCCUAAGUGCCUGUGAUAGAGAAAAUGGAGCAAGACGCCCACUAUUGCUUGGUUCUACUUCCUUUAUCCCGAUUGGCCGUCGGACUUAUGCCAGUGCGGCGGAGCCGGUUGGCAGCAAAGCUGUCCUGGUCACAGGCUGUGACUCUGGAUUUGGGUUCUCAUUGGCCAAGCAUCUGCAUUCAAAAGGCUUCCUUGUGUUUGCUGGCUGCUUGAUGAAGCUUUGAAGCACCCACUGAGUGGGCGGAUCAUAAUUUACUUCAUCAAAAUCUCCUGUAAAUGAGCAUUUAGGUGUUUUCAAUAUUUUGCAAUUACAAAUAAUGCCACAAUGAAUA
rnacentral:misc_RNA from 1 species